rnacentral:lncRNA from 1 species
AGUCCUCGACUAAAGAAUAGUUGAGUUUUGAACUUGCACAGACUCAAAUGGACUGCUCACUAGUUAGAUUCAAGGAAGUCGCUGAAGUAGCUCACCCAGAGGCCAGGAUGUCCAGAAGCAAGGAGACGAGCAAUGUUGUCAAUUUGUAGAAAUGAACAAAAACAAGCACAGUGGACUUUCAAGAGUACAAACAUACAAACAAAUAAACAAGAGAAAAAAAGAAAGAAAGAAGAAAGAGAAAAGAAAAAAGAAAAGAAAGAAAAAGAAGCAAGCAAGCUGGAUAAUAGGA